AUGUACUGCUCCCUCCCCUUCACCACCCCAAACUCCAUCUUUCAGUAAGAGACACCAGAAGAGCAGAGGGACUGGAAGAUCAUUAAGUAGCUGACGAACAGAGUAUUUCUGAUAGCAAGAUGUCUCACCAAUAUUCCAACAGGAACAAUACUUUCUGCUCUAUUUGUGAACCAUUUCAAAAAUCAUACUGUCAAAAUGUGGAGGUACCAUCACAAACUCCCACAGCCUCUGAUGACCCUAUAAGAUCAGUCUCUGAGGCCAACGUGAGAGCAUCAUUCAGAAGGAUGAACCCAUGGAGAACACCUGACCCAGGUGGGAUACCUGGCCAAGUACCAAAGACCUGUGCUGAUCAGCUGGCUGGAGUGCUCACUGAGAUAUUUAACCUUUUGCUUCGGUAGUCUGAGGUACGCAUCUGCUUCAAGCAGGCAUCGUUUAUACUGGUGCCUAAGAAGAACGUGGUAACCUGCCUCAAUGACUAUAAUCCAGUAACACUUACUUCCAGAAUAAUGAAGAGUUUUGAGAGAUUGAUGAUGAAGCAUAUCAACUCCUGUCAGAGGAGUGACCUGUUUCUACUCUAAUUUGCCUACUGGCACAACAAAUCCACAACGGAUACCAUUUCAUUGGCUUUUCGCUCAACUCUGGAAAAUAUGAACAGCAAAGACCCUCUUUAUCGACUACAACCCAGCAUUCAAUGCAAUCAUCCACUCAAAGCUAAUCAAUGAGCUUCAAGACUUUGGCCUCAAUACCUCCUUGUGGAAGUGGAUCUUCAAUUUCCUCACUUCCACACCCCAAUCAGUUCUGAUUGAACAUAAGACAUAGGAGCAGAAUUAUGCCAUCAAGUCUGUCCACCAUUUCAUCAUGGCUGUUCUAAUUUUUCUCUCAGCCCCAAUUUCCUGCCUUUUUCCUGUAUCCUGCCCUGGAUUGGUAACAACAUCUCCACAACCUCCAUCAGCACGGGUGCACCAUAAGGCUGUGUGCCUAUCCCCCCAGCUCUACUCACUUUACACUUAUGACUGUGUGGAUAAGCACAACUCCAAUGCCAUACUUGAACCUGCUGACAACACCACUGUCAUAGGCCAAAAGAAAAGGAGUAAAAAUCAGAAAACAGGAGGGAGAUUGAAAAUCUGGCUGAUUGACACCACAUCAACAACCUCCUACUCAAUGUCAGCAAGACCAAGGAACUGAUUAUUGACUCCAGAAGGAGGAAACCAGAGUUUUCAUCAGAGGAUCAGAGGCGGAGAGGGUAAGCAACUAUAAAUUCCUCACUGUUAUCAUUUCUGGUGACUUGUCCUGGUUCCAGCACAAAAGUACUAUUAUGAAGAAAGCAAAGCAAUGCCUUUACUUCCUUAGAUUCUUGUGAACGUUUGGCAUGACACCUAAAACUUCGACAAACUUCUGCAGAUGUGUGGCGGAGAAUAUAUUGACUGGCUGCAUCACUGCCUGGUAUGGAAACACCAAUGUCUUUGAACAGAAAAUCCUACAAAACAUUGUGGAUACAGCCCAGUUAAUCAUUGGUAAAGCCUUCCCCACCACUGAGCAUGUCCACAUGGAGUGUUGUCACAGGAAGGCAGCAUCCAUCAUCAAGGACUCCACCAUCCAGACUGCUGCCAUCAGGAAGAAAGUACAGGAGUGUCAGGACUCACAGCACUAGGUUCAGGAACUGUUAUUACCCCGCAACUAUCAGGCUCUAGGACUAGAGGAAAUAACUUUGCUCAACUUUACUUGCCUGGGUAUGUCUACCCUGAUGAAGAUGGCAGAGUUUGUCAUCAAAGCAUUGGUUGUAAUCGAUACCUGACUCAUACCCAGCUGGAA